AUUGAACGCUGGCGGCAGGCCUAACACAUGCAAGUCGAGCGGAAACGAGUUAUCAGAACCUUCGGGGAACGAUAACGGCGUCGAGCGGCGGACGGGUGAGUAAUGCCUAGGAAAUUGCCCUGAUGUGGGGGAUAACCAUUGGAAACGAUGGCUAAUACCGCAUGAUGCCUACGGGCCAAAGAGGGGGACCUUCGGGCCUCUCGCGUCAGGAUAUGCCUAGGUGGGAUUAGCUAGUUGGUGAGGUAAGGGCUCACCAAGGCGACGAUCCCUAGCUGGUCUGAGAGGAUGAUCAGCCACACUGGAACUGAGACACGGUCCAGACUCCUACGGGAGGCAGCAGUGGGGAAUAUUGCACAAUGGGCGCAAGCCUGAUGCAGCCAUGCCGCGUGUGUGAAGAAGGCCUUCGGGUUGUAAAGCACUUUCAGUCGUGAGGAAGGUAGUGUAGUUAAUAGCUGCAUUAUUUGACGUUAGCGACAGAAGAAGCACCGGCUAACUCCGUGCCAGCAGCCGCGGUAAUACGGAGGGUGCGAGCGUUAAUCGGAAUUACUGGGCGUAAAGCGCAUGCAGGUGGUUUGUUAAGUCAGAUGUGAAAGCCCGGGGCUCAACCUCGGAAUUGCAUUUGAAACUGGCAGACUAGAGUACUGUAGAGGGGGGUAGAAUUUCAGGUGUAGCGGUGAAAUGCGUAGAGAUCUGAAGGAAUACCGGUGGCGAAGGCGGCCCCCUGGACAGAUACUGACACUCAGAUGCGAAAGCGUGGGGAGCAAACAGGAUUAGAUACCCUGGUAGUCCACGCCGUAAACGAUGUCUACUUGGAGGUUGUGGCCUUGAGCCGUGGCUUUCGGAGCUAACGCGUUAAGUAGACCGCCUGGGGAGUACGGUCGCAAGAUUAAAACUCAAAUGAAUUGACGGGGGCCCGCACAAGCGGUGGAGCAUGUGGUUUAAUUCGAUGCAACGCGAAGAACCUUACCUACUCUUGACAUCCAGAGAACUUUCCAGAGAUGGAUUGGUGCCUUCGGGAACUCUGAGACAGGUGCUGCAUGGCUGUCGUCAGCUCGUGUUGUGAAAUGUUGGGUUAAGUCCCGCAACGAGCGCAACCCUUAUCCUUGUUUGCCAGCGAGUAAUGUCGGGAACUCCAGGGAGACUGCCGGUGAUAAACCGGAGGAAGGUGGGGACGACGUCAAGUCAUCAUGGCCCUUACGAGUAGGGCUACACACGUGCUACAAUGGCGCAUACAGAGGGCAGCCAACUUGCGAAAGUGAGCGAAUCCCAAAAAGUGCGUCGUAGUCCGGAUUGGAGUCUGCAACUCGACUCCAUGAAGUCGGAAUCGCUAGUAAUCGUGGAUCAGAAUGCCACGGUGAAUACGUUCCCGGGCCUUGUACACACCGCCCGUCACACCAUGGGAGUGGGCUGC
rnacentral:rRNA from 1 species